rnacentral:rRNA from 1 species
GAUGAACGCUGGCGGCGUGCCUAAUACAUGCCAGUCGAGCGAACAGACGAGGCGCUUGCUCCUCUGACGUUAGCGGCGGACGGGUGAGUAACACGUGGAUAACCUACCUAUCAGACUGGGAUAACUUCGGGAAACCGGAGCUAAUACCGGAUAAUAUAUUGAACCGCAUGGUUCAAUAGUGAAAGACGGUUUUGCUGUCACUUAUCGAUGGAUCCGCGCGGCAUUAGCUAGUUGGUACGGUAACGGCUUACCAAGGCAACGAUGCGUAGCCGACCUGAGAGGGUGAUCGGCCACACGGGAACUGAGACACGGUCCAGACGCCUACGGGAGGCAGCAGUAGGGAAUCUUCCGCAAUGGGCGAAAGCCUUACGGAGCAACGCCGCGUGAGUGAUGACGGUCUUCGGAUCGUAAAACUCUGUUAUUAGGGAAGAACAAAUGUGGAAGUAACUAUGCACGUCUUGACGGUACCUAGUCAGAAAGCCACGGCUAACUACGUG